GCAGAUUGGGCUGAGGGACAACCCCCCCACUGCACAAAUUUCGUGCACCGGGCCUCUAGUGGUAUAUAUAGCACUUAGCAAUAGAAGAUAUGAACUACUGUUAGAUGCAAUAUAGAUCAAUAUCAAAACAUUAUGCUGAUUUAGAGCCAGAUGCAAACUUAAACAUACUGUGUGGUCCCAUUUAUAUUAACUUCAAGAACAGACAAAACAAAUCUAUAGUGACAUAAAGCAGAUUAGUGGUUGCCUUGGGAAGACUGCAGAGGUAUUAACUUAAAAGGAGCAUGAGAGAAUUUUUUGGAGUGAUGAAAAUGUUCUAAAUCUUGAUUGGCAUGGUAGUAGCACAGGUAUGUGUUUUGCCAAAACUCACUGAAUUAUACAAGUAAAAUGUAUGCAUUUUAUUUAUGUACAGUAACUUCAAUAAAGUUGAUUUUUAAAAAUCAGAAAAUUCUAAUUAGAAAAUCAAGCAUAUUGUAUACCAUUAAAACAUGUUGGUACUGAUUAAGUCCAUGCUUUAAAAAUAGGUAUAAUUGGUAUCUUUCUAGACUUCACUCAAAUUAGGAUGGCUAAUUCAAAAUAAAGUAGGUAAAAAAUUCCAUGAGAGCACUGCCAGAGAACACUAACCAAAAGAAAGUUGCUUACCAUGUUUUGGACUGGUGUAUGGCCUUUGGUACAACAUUAAAUCCUUGUUGAAGAAGAAUAACCUAACUAAAAAAGAGCGUGCAUGCUCGAAACAGAAUAAGGCUGAACAAGCAGAAUGGAGUUCACUGGUCCUUAAGAUCAUGUAAGAAGAUCAAAGGGAGGAGCCAAAGAGAAUAUAAAGUUUCAAUGAGAAAAAAGAGAAAAACAAGGGCACUCAAUGUUGGCUCCCCACACAUGCAGAAUAUCUACGGAGAACAGUGGGCAAUCCCUAAGAAUAUGAUGAUCCCUUUUUGUGUGUCUUAGAGGUAUCACAUAAUCCCUGCUGGAAAUACACACAUCCAUGUGAAGAUCAAGGAAGUGUUAAGGAAAGCCAAAUCUGACCAUACAUUUGGGGUACAAUAGGGAAUGUGUGGGGAAGAACAAGAGAAGCCACCUUCUUUGGAGAGCUGCACAGUCUAACCAGAGGCAACCAUGGCAAUAUGGGGGAAAGUGAUAUGACAGAAAGAAUAAUCACUUUGAAAGCUCAAGCUGAUGUAGUUUUUAAGUACUGUGACAUAAUAGGCCACGAGCGUUUCAUGUUUACUUUUAGUGGAAUAGUACAACAAUAUAUAAAACUCUACCUUUGGAUUCUUGCCCUCUUUGGCCAACAAUGCCCGAAGUCUUUCUUGUGAAGGGGGGGCAAUAAAAAUAAUAUAUGGUUUCAA